ACUGAGCUUGCAAAGGUUUAGUUUUGGAAAUUAGCAGAUAUAUUUUGGGUCGUUUUGUGGAAGAUGGGAAAACAAUAGGGAUAAUAAACGUAGGACAGCCAGUGGAGAUUAUUCUUAUACAUUCAGAAGUUGCAUCAAUUUUUGUAAUUUUGACAAAUAUUUAGUCUUUGGAGGGAUGGUUUUGGUUUCAUCCUUCUAUCAU
rnacentral:misc_RNA from 1 species